rnacentral:rRNA from 1 species
UACAGAGGUCUCAAGCGUUGUUCGGAUUCAUUGGGCGUAAAGGGUGCGUAGGCGGCACGGUAAGUCGGGUGUGAAAUCUUGGAGCUUAACUCCGAAACUGCAUUCGAUACUGCCGUGCUUGAGGACUGGAGAGGAGACUGGAAUUUACGGUGUAGCGGUGAAAUGCGUAGAUAUCAGGAGGAACACCGAUGGCGAAGGCAGGUCUCUGGGCAUUAACUGACGCUGAGGAGCGAAAAGCAUGGGGAGCGAAACAGG